GGACGGACGAACGGAGCCACAGACCAGAAAACAUAAUGCCCCUCUACUAUCGUAGGUGGGGCAUAAAAAUCAAUACAUCUAGAUCUUUUAUAACUUGAUUGUGCUCAUUGUUGAUUACUUGAUCAAGUAAGUGCAUUUCUUUGGAAAAUUCAUCAAAUCUCGUUAUUGUACUGAAUGUCAAUUUUCUUUGUUGUCUUGUAUUUCCAUUUUAAUACUUCCUCUACUCUAUUCGGCCUUUUAAACAUUUUUUGAUUCGAGCGUUACUGAUGGGUCUUUUGUGGACGAAUCGUGCGUCUGGCAUAAAAAUAACAUUUUUAAUCCUGGUACCUAUGGAUAGUUUAUUAUACCCAUCGUCUUUGCUGGAUUCAAACAUGGUCAAUCAAUGAAAUAUUAAGAGACUUUCAAGAGGUUAAGCUAGCUAUAAAACCAU
rnacentral:lncRNA from 1 species